ensembl:snRNA U6 U6 spliceosomal RNA
GUGCUCACUUCAGCAGCACAUAUAAUAAAAUUUGAAUGAUACAGAGAUUAGCAUGGCCCCUGAGCAGAGAUAACCAAAUCUGUAAAGCACUGCAUAUUUCU